rnacentral:rRNA from 1 species
GCCAGCAACCAUAUCACCCUGCAACUCCCAGCUGGCAGCCCUCUGGAGCUCAGCAGGUGUGAGCCUGGUCAGUACCUGGAGGGGAGACUCCUGGGAAAAACUAAGGUUGCUGCUGGAA